ensembl:lncRNA
CAGGAAUGGGGACAGGCUGGAGGGAACCACAGACCGAGGGGUUCCAGGUGCCCCCAGCAGACCUCUGGCUGCAGUGACUGAAGCUCAAACUCUGCCCAACACCUUAACAGGUCCCAGAGCCCGUGUCUGGCACCCCUGAGACCACCUUGACGUUCCAUAAUGUUAGCCAACCGCAAGACUCCAAGGUGCCCAGGCCAGCUGUCUGGGCAGGACUGAUCACCCAACGAUACCAGGUACUGGUCCUCAAGAUUGUUAAACAAGGCCAAACACUCCUGCCCCCAAGAGGAUGGUAUGGUGAAAGAGAAAGGUCACUGAGGGCCCAGAAGACCCCAUGAAUACCUCCCAGAAGGUGGACUCUGUCAUCAGCCACCUGGCUCCCCCUCAUAGGGAGGCCAUAGCAGUCACUCUCCAUGGGGCCACCAACCUUCCCGCCUGCAAGGAUGGCUCUGCACCAUGGCCCUACGUGGUAGUAUAAAUAGCUAGCUGGUUGAGAGCAGGGUCAGGGAUGGUGUGCAAGCUGGAGCAGAAACCAGCGUGUGGAUAUUUGGGAUAUGAGUACCCAAAGGUUCAGGGCAGGGACUGUGACACCCAGAGAGGAAAGAAGGCCGAGUGUGAACCACCCAGGGACUGUGGGCUCUGCAGAGGUCUCAUAUCUUCCCUGCUGUGUGGGAAGCUGCUCACCAUGGCUGGGGAGGAGGGAAGAGCCACUCCUUGAUCUCACAACCACCAGGGUUUGGCCACAAAUCGACCUCAGCAAGGCAGGGCCCCCAGAUGCAGAGACCUGGGCUGGACUCAGUGGGAGGUGAUGGUCAAAGGAAGGAGAAAGCCUAAGGCCUACCUCUCCCGGCCUCUGAGUGCUCCGUCUUACCAUGCCCAGUCCUGGGGUAAGGGCCCCAUGACCACCC